rnacentral:lncRNA from 1 species
AUGGGGAUUUGGGAUGGGGAUUUGGAACCGCGGGGAUUUGGGAUGGGGAUUUGGAACCGCGGGGAUUUGGGAUGGGGAUUUGGAACCGCGGGGAUUUGGGAUGGGGAUUUGGGAUGGGGAUUUGGAACCGCGGGGAUUUGGGAUCGGCAUUUGGGAUCGGGAUCUGGGAUAGGGAAUUGGGACCGUGGGGAUUUGGGAUCGGGAUCUGGGAUCGGCAUUUUGGAUCAGCAUUUGGGACCGUGGGGAUUUGGGAUCGGGAUCGGGGAUUUGGGAUGGGGAUUUGGGACCGGGGCAGCCCCGCCCCAAAUGGGAUGGCACAAGGGGUUUGUCCCCAAAGUCCCCGUCCCGGUUUUGUGGCGGUGUCACCACCCCUGGGGGGGGGGGGAGGGGGGGGUGGGGUGGGAAUGGGGCCGGGAAUGGGGCCGGGAAUGGGGCUGGGAUCAGAGUGGGAAUAGGGUCAGAAAUGGGGCCGGGAUUGGGGUGAGAAUGGGGCCAGGAAUGGGGCCGGGAUUGGGGCCGAGAUUGGGGUGGGAAUGGGACCGGGAUUGGGGUGGGAAUGGGACCGGGAUUGGGGUGGGAAUUGGACUGGGAUUGGGGCCGGGAUUGGGGCGGGAAUGGGGCCAGGAUUGGGGCGGGAAUGGGGCCGGGAUUGGGGCCGAGAUUGGGGUGGGAAUGGGGCCGGGAUUGGGGUGGGAAUGGGGCCGGGAUUGGGGCGGAAUGGGGCCGGGAUUGGGGCCGAGAUUGGGGUGGGAAUGGGGCUGGGAUUGGGGCGGGAAUGGGGCCAGGAUUGGGGCGGGAAUGGGGCCGGGAUUGGGGCGGAAUGGGGCCGGGAUUGGGGCCGGGGAUGGGGCUGGGAUCAGAGUGGGAAUAGGCUCAGGAAUAGGGCCGGGAUUAGGGCGAGAAUGGGGCCGGGAUUGGGGCCGAGAUUGGGGUGGGAAUGGGGCCGGGAAUGGGGCUGGGAUCAGAGUGGGAAUAGGGUCAGAAAUGGGGCCGGGAUUGGGGCCGGGGAUGUCCCUCCGGGCAGGGCGGGGCUGUCGCGGCCCCACGCGGGGACACCGGGCCCAGGGCUCGGCCACCGGAACCGCCCCACGGCACCGGCAGCGCCUUCCCGGGGCCGGGAUCCCCUUCCCGAUCCCACAGCCGAUCCCAAAAUCCCCUUCCAGCCCCACAAUCCCCACCCCAAUCCCAUAUCCCAAUCCCAUAUCCCCAUCCCACAUCCCGAUCCCAAAUCCCCAUCCCAGUCCCAGAAUCCCUAUUCCAAUCCUACAUCCCCAUCCCAAUCCCACAUCCGGAUCCCAAAUCCCUAUCCCAGUCCCCAUCCCGAUCCCAAAUCCCCAUCCCAGUCCCAGAAUCCCUAUUCCAAUCCUACAUCCCCACCCCAGUCCCAGAAUCCCCAUUCCAAUCCUACAUCCCUAUCCCAAUCCCACAUCCUGA